AACAUGGCUCUUUGAAAUGAAUAUAUAAAGAGUCGAGCCUGCCCGGUGAGUAAAAUUUAACGGCCGCAGUACUCUGACUGUGCAAAGGUAGCAUAAUCAUUUGCCCUAUAAUUGAGGGCUGGUAUGAAUGGUUUGACGAGAGCAAAGCUGUCUCUAUAAAAUUUAUUAGAAUUUGGUUUUUAGGUGAAGAAACCUAAAUAAAACUAAAAGACAAGAAGACCCUAUCGAGCUUUAAGUGAAUUUUUUAAGAAAUGUAAGCUAUAUCAAUUUUAAUUAAUAACUUUUGGUUGGGGCGACUAAGGAACAAUCAAAGCUUCUUUAUUAUAUUAUGACUUAUAGGUUUUGAUCCAAUAAAUUGAUUACAAGAAAUAGUUACCGUAGGGAUAACAGCAUAAUCUUUUUUAAGAGUUCUUAUCGAAAAAAAGGUUUGUGACCUCGAUGUUGGACUAGGAUAUCCUGAAAGGUGCAGAAGUCUUCAAGGGUUGGUCUGUUCGACCACUAAUAUCCUACGUGAU
rnacentral:rRNA from 1 species